rnacentral:sRNA from 1 species
GUUCCUGAAAAAUCAGGAGCCGGGAUUGGAACCCUGUGAAUUACACUGGCGACACAAGACGCGCUGCGUCUUUUUU